AUUGAACGCUGGCGGCAGGCCUAACACAUGCAAGUCGAACGCGUGGCGGACGGGUGUGACAUGUCUGGGACACUGCCUGAAGGCUGGGGUAAACUCCUGGAAACGGUAGUUAAUACCGCAUACCAUCCGAUUUGCCCUGGUGGGAUUAGCCAGUUGGUGGUGUAACGGCUCACCAGGUCCACGAUCCCUAGCUGGUCUGAGAGGGUGACCAGCCACACUGGAACUGAGACACGGUCCAGACUCCGACGGGAGGCAGCAGUAGGGAAUAUUGCACAAUGGGCGCAAGCCUUAUGGAGCCAUGCCGCGUGUAUGAAGAAGGUCUUCGGGUUGUAAAAUUCUUUCAGCGGGGAGGCGUUACCCGCUGAAGAAGCCACGGCUAACUACGUGCCAGCAGCCGCGGUAAUAC
rnacentral:rRNA from 1 species